GGCCCGUUCGUCUAGGGGUUAGGACACCAGAUUUUCAUUCUGGUAACAGGGGUUCGAUUCCCCUACGGGCUGCCA
rnacentral:tRNA from 1 species